rnacentral:rRNA from 1 species
ACGUAGGUGGCAAGCGUUAUUCGGAAUUACUAGGCGUAAAGCGCGUGCAGGCGGACUUUUAAGUCAGUUGUGUAAUCUCUUGGCUCAACCAAGAGCGGUCGACUGAUACUGGAGGUCUUGAGUGGAGCAGAGGAAAUCGGAUUUCCCGGUGUAGCGGUGGAAUGCGUAGAUAUCGGGAGGAACACCAGUGGCGAAGGCGGAUUUCUGGGCUUUUCCGGACGCUGAGGCGCGAAAGCUAGGGGCGCAAACAG